UACUGAGUUGAUGGUGAAGCUCAGAGAGUUCUGUGGCUCAUCGGUGAAUCUUCGGUGUCAAUUGUUGACAGGCGACUUGAAGACCUAAUUUUGAUCACGUCCGACGAUAGGUUGAGGCGCAAUGGUCGGCGAUCCUAUCUCUGACGACGACCUGCUGUCGAUAGUCAGAGCUUUCUUCUCCGCCCUUUUGUCCGAUUACAGGGUUUGGAUACUUUGGAAAUGGAAUUACAUACCAGUCCUUUGGAAUCUGAAGUAUGAUUUGAACAUAUUAUAUUGAAGAAAUUCUUAAAAAGGAGUUGGUAAGUGUUAAUGGUGUAGUAUUUCACUAAUAUCAAUUUAAGUAUGGGUUGGAUCUAUGAGGUUUUUUUGUGUUGCUGUGUUUGUUAAUUUUAGGUUUCUUGUGGAAACGAGCAUUGGUUUAUCAAUAGUAUCAAUUUAAUUUUUACUUGGUUUGGGUCAUUGCAAUUCAAUGCUCUGUUCAGCUUCUUUACAUUGCAGAGAUUUUUUUACACUCAUUUUGUUUAUAAAACUUACUAGAGCUUAUGAAGUUUAUAAAUUCAUUUUCAAGUUAUGUAGCUUGGAAUUGGCAAUCUAUUUUUCCCUUAUAUUUGUUAUUGUUCUGUUCCAAUGAAUACAGAGCCUACGUUCUUUUUUCUUUUUGAUAAGAUGUUUAUGUCUGACCUGAAAGUAUUAACUCAUUGGCAUACCUAUUUUAAUGACUCUUGGGCUUCUGUCUUUUUCUUGGUGGGGCCCCAUACAGUUUAAUUGAUGAAGAGCCAGCAAUCAGAACAAAUACUACCAUUUUACUUGGGAAUAUUGCAAGUCACCUAAAUGAAGGGACAAGGAAGAGAGUUUUGAUUAAUGCAUUUACUGUUCGUGCAUUGUGUGAUACUUUCUCGCCUGCCCGAGGAGCAAGGAUCAUGGCUCUAUGUGCCACCAGUGCUUAUUAUGACGUCACUGAGAUUGCAACUCGGAUUCUACCGAAUGUCGUUUUACUUACCAUUGAUCCUGACAGUGGCCUGUCAAUCCUAAGAAAUGUUACGCGGUGAUUGGCAAUAUUUCAUUUCCUGUAUGCAGGCUCUCGCUUGAUGAACGGUUCAUGAACUUAUUCUUCUGUCUCUCAAGAUUUUGCUUUUUAGGGUGGUUGUUCCUAGGCCGGGUUUAAGCCCCGAUAGAGAGUUUGAUUAAACUAGUGGCCCUGUAAAGUUUGUUCUUACAUAUGAAUAAU